GUAAGAGAAAAAAAAUAAGAUAAAAAGGGAGAUAAACGUGAAGUGUGUUUUGUUUGUUUCUGUUCUUUCUUUAUUUGUUCGAACUCAACACCCAGGUUGUACAAUACUGGCCUUGACCGGCUCAUGAUCUGUGCACUCAUUCUAAUUUCA
rnacentral:ribozyme from 13 species